rnacentral:tRNA from 1 species
UUAAUUGAAGCCAAAGAAGAGGCAACUUAUUGUUAAUAAGUAAAUUGAUUUUAUCCAAUUAAA